UAGGGAAUCUUCCGCAAUGGACGAAAGUCUGACGGAGCAACGCCGCGUGAGUGAUGAAGGCUUUCGGGUCGUAAAACUCUGUUGUUAGGGAAGAACAAGUACGAGAGUAACUGCUCGUACCUUGACGGUAUCUAACCAGAAAGCCACGGCUAACUACGUG
rnacentral:rRNA from 1 species